rnacentral:rRNA from 1 species
CGGCGGACGGGUGAGUAACACGUGGGUAACCUGCCUGUAAGACUGGGAUAACUCCGGGAAACCGGGGCUAAUACCGGAUGCUUGAUUGAACCGCAUGGUUCAAUUAUAAAAGGUGGCUUUUACCUACCACUUACAGAUGGACCCGCGGCGCAUUACCUAGUUGGUGAGGUAACGGCUCACCAAGGCAACAAUGCGUACCCAACCUGAAAGGGUGAUCGGCCACACUGGGACUGAAACACGGCCCAAACUCCUACGGGAGGCAGCAGUAGGGAAUCUUCCGCAAUGGACAAAAGUCUGACGGACCAACGCCCCGUGAGUGAUGAAGGUUUUCGGAUCGUAAAACUCUGUUGUUAGGGAAAAACAAGUACCGUUCGAAUAGGGCGGUACCUUGACGGUACCUAACCAAAAAGCCACGGCUAACUACGUGCCACCACCCGCGGUAAUACGUAGGUGGCAAGCGUUGUCCGGAAUUAUUGGGCGUAAAGCGCGCGCAGGCGGUUUCUUAAGUCUGAUGUGAAAGCCCCCGGCUCAACCGGGGAGGGUCAUUGGAAACUGGGGAACUUGAGUGCAGAAGAGGAGAGUGGAAUUCCACGUGUAGCGGUGAAAUGCGUAGAGAUGUGGAGGAACACCCAGUGCCGAAGGCGACUCUCUGGUCUGUAACUGACGC